rnacentral:rRNA from 1 species
GUGGGGAAUAUUGCGCAAUGGGGGAAACCCUGACGCAGCGACGCCGCGUGCGGGAUGAAGGCCUUCGGGUUGUAAACCGCUUUUGAUUGGGAGCAAGCUUUCGGGUGAGUGUACCUUUCGAAUAAGCGCCGGCUAACUACGUGCCAGCAGCCGCGGUAAUACGUAGGGCGCAAGCGUUAUCCGGAAUUAUUGGGCGUAAAGAGCUUGUAGGCGGUUCGUCGCGUCUGGUGUGAAAGCCCAUCGCUUAACGGUGGGUCUGCGCCGGGUACGGGCGGGCUAGAGUGCAGUAGGGGAGACUGGAAUUCCCGGUGUAACGGUGGAAUGUGUAGAUAUCGGGAAGAACACCAAUGGCGAAGGCAGGUCUCUGGGCUGUUACUGACGCUGAGAAGCGAAAGCGUGGGGAGCGAACAGGAUUAGAUACCCCAGUAGUCC